UGGGGAAUUUUGCGCAAUGGACGAAAGUCUGACGCAGCAACGCCGCGUGGAGGAUGAAGCCCUUUGGGGUGUAAACUUCUGUUGAUCGGGAAGAAAAGUUAGUAGUUAAUACCUGCUAUAAUGACGUUACCGAUAAAGAAAGCACCGGCUAAUCUCGUGCCAGCAGCCGCGGUAAUACGAGAGGUGCAAGCGUUAUUCGGAAUUAUUGGGCGUAAAGGGCGCGUAGGCGGCUUUAUAAGUUUUUUGUUUAAUUUUCUGGCCUAACUGGAAACAUGCAAAAAAUACUGUAUUGCUAGAGUAUAAUAGAGAGGAGUGGAAUUUUCGGAGUAGCGGUUAAAUGCGUAGAUCUCGAAAGGAACGCCAAUGGCGAAGGCAGCUUCUUGGGUUAUUACUGACGCUG
rnacentral:rRNA from 1 species